GAGUUUGAUCAUGGCUCAGGACGAACGCUGGCGGCGUGCCUAACACAUGCAAGUCGAGCGAUGAAGCUUCCUUCGGGAAGUGGAUUAGCGGCGGACGGGUGAGUAACACGUGGGCAACCUGCCUCAAAGAGGGGAAUAGCCCUCCGAAAGGAGGAUUAAUACCGCAUAAAGUUAGAGUUUCGCAUGAAACUUUAACCAAAGGAGUAAUCUGCUUUGAGAUGGGCCCGCGUCCCAUUAGCUAGUUGGUAAGGUAAUGGCUUACCAAGGCAACGAUGGGUAGCCGACCUGAGAGGGUGAUCGGCCACAUUGGAACUGAGACACGGUCCAGACUCCUACGGGAGGCAGCAGUGGGGAAUAUUGCGCAAUGGGGGAAACCCUGACGCAGCAACGCCGCGUGGGUGAUGAAGGUUUUCGGAUCGUAAAACCCUGUUUUCUGGGACGAUAAUGACGGUACCAGAUGAGGAAGCCACGGCUAACUACGUGCCAGCAGCCGCGGUAAUAC
rnacentral:rRNA from 1 species